rnacentral:rRNA from 1 species
GACGAACGCUGGCGGCGUGCUUAACAAAUGCAAGUCGAACGAUGAAGCCGGAGCUUGCUCUGGUGAAUUAGUGGCGAACGGGUGAGUAACACGUGAGUAACCUGCCCUUGACUCUGGGAUAACUGCGGGAAACUGUAGCUAAUACCGGAUACGACCCUCGGAGGCAUCUCCUGGGGGUGGAAAGAAUUUCGGUCAAGGAUGGACUCGCGGCCUAUCAGCUAGUUGGUGAGGUAAAGGCUCACCAAGGCGACGACGGGUAGCCGGCCGGAGAGGGGGACAGGCGAGACUGGGACUGAGACACGGCCCAGACUCCUACGGGAGGCAGCAGUGGGGAAUAUUGCCCAAUGGGCGCAAGCCUGAUGCAGCAACGCCGCGUGAGGGAUGACGGCCUUCGGGUUGUAAACCUCUUUUAGCAGGGAAGAAGCGAAAGUGACGGUACCUGCAGAAAAAGCACCGGCUAACUACGUGCCAGCCGCCGCCGUAA